UUGAAAGGGAAACGAUUGAAGUCAGUCGUGCUGGCGCGAAAUCAACCUUCUCGUCUUGAGAUCACAUGGCGUGGCGAGCCUCAAAACCGUCACGAAGCGUGAACUCUUGGUGAAAUGGAGCACUUUCGUGUCCGCUGGUUAACAUCAAUUUCGAACGUCAUAAAAAGGCUGGAGGGAUGUGGCUCCUUCGGGAGUGUUAUAACCUUUAGCGGAAUGUGGUGUUCGGGAUUGAGGAUUGCAACGAAUACCUUUAGGGCUGUUCCACCUGGCUUCUCUUUGGUAUCCUGGUGACGACAGCUUGCUGACGUCGUUAGGAUUCGCCUUUGAACAGGUUAGAACGUGAUUACAUUCGUUAAGGAUGUUGACGUA
rnacentral:rRNA from 1 species